GACGAACGCUGGCGGCGUGCCUAAUACAUGCAAGUAGAACGCAGUUGCGAACGGGUGAGUAACGCGUAGGUAACUGCCUCAUAGCGGGGGAUAACUAUUGGAAACGAUAGCUAAUACCGCAUACUGUGAGAUGGAUCUGCGUUGGAUUAGCUAGUUGGUGAGGUAAAGGGUCACCAAGGCGACGAUACAUAGCCGACCUGGGAGGGGUGUCGAGUACACUGGGAUUUGGACACGGCCCAGGCUCCUCAGGGGUGCAGCAGUAGGGGAAUUUCGGCAAUGGGGGGAAGUCUGACCGAGCAACGCCGCGGGAGAGGAGAAGGUUUUCGGGGCGUAAAGCUCUGUUGUUAGAGAAGCGGUAACUGACCAGAAAGGGACGGCUAACUACGUGCCAGCAGCCGCGGUAAUAC
rnacentral:rRNA from 1 species